GACCUCGGAUCAGGUAGGAAUACCCGCUGAACUUAAGCAUAUCAAUAAGCGGAGGAAAAGAAACCAACAGGGAUUGCCUCAGUAACGGCGAGUGAAGCGGCAACAGCUCAAAUUUGAAAUCUGGCCUCUUUGGGGUCCGAGUUGUAAUUUGUAGAGGAUGUUUCGGGUACCGCCUCGGUCUAAAUUUCUUGGAACAGAAUGUCAAAGAGGGUGAGAAUCCCGUCUUGGACCGGCGGUAGGGCCCAUGUGAAACUCCUUCGACGAGUCGAGUUGUUUGGGAAUGCAGCUCAAAAUGGGUGGUAAAUUUCAUCUAAAGCUAAAUAUUGGCCAGAGACCGAUAGCGCACAAGUAGAGUGAUCGAAAGAUGAAAAGCACUUUGAAAAGAGAGUUAAACAGUAUGUGAAAUUGUUGAAAGGGAAGCGCUUGCAACCAG
rnacentral:rRNA from 1 species